GACAUUUUCCAAUUUGCGAAGAAUCAUGUGGUCAAUGUUUUGUUUCCCAAAGGACUAUAAGAGAGAUGGCAUUUAUUGGUUGGAGAUUCUAGUUCAAUAGCACAUCAGCUUUACUUUGCUAUAUUAUCUUAGUUUGGUUGAUAAAUUAAUUCCUCACAAUUGUCACAUUUGUUGCUCACAGUUGAGAAAGCAAAAUACAUCUACAUUGUUGGCUUUUACCCUCACGGUGUCCCCUGACUGUAUUCAGCUUUUUGCUGAGCAUGCUGCUGCAAACAACAAGGUGGACUUAGACAUAUUCUCACACUAGGCUGUCUCCAUGUGAGAUUAUAAUUUGAAGGUCAAUGAAUGCCUUGCAUGAAGCAAGGUGCAUGGGCCAUAUCCGAAGGUACUAUUUUAUUCUUGUUGCACUCUGGGCUAACUACUUCGGAUCGACUAUGUUUUCGUUCUCUGAACUGUGUGUCCUGUGUGUUUUACU